CCGUAAAAUGCUCCCAAAGAGAACACCUUAGCUCUUCUGCUUUACGAAAACAUGAAUAUCAAUAGUGUCUAGCGCACGUGAUAACACACAGAGGGGCUCCAAAAGGGGUGAAUAAAUAGAGCUGAAUCGGUUGAUUACAGAAGCAGUUUCCGUCAUCAAUUUUUGUUUUAAUAUUUAUGUACAUUUUUACAGUGAAUACGACUAGAAAAGCACCAUCCGUGUUUUUUUAGCUCACCUGAGCAAUGCUCAGGUGAGUUUUUCUGAUCGCUCAAUGUCCGGCGUCCGUCGUCUGUCGUCUGUCGUCCGUCUGUCAACAUUUAGCUUGUGUAUGCGAUAGAGGCUGUAUUUUUCAACUAAUCUUCAUGAGUAUUGGUCAGAAUUUUAACCUUGAUAAAAUCUAAGCCGAGUUUGAAAAUGGGUCAUCUCGGGUCAAAAACUAGGUCACUAGGUCAAAUUAAAGAAAAACCUUGUGUAUGCGAUAGAGGCUGUAUUUUUCAAUUGGUCUUCAUGAAUAUUGGUCAGAAUGAUGGCCUUGAUGAAAUCUAAGCCGAGUUCGAAAAUGGGUCAUCUCGGGUCAAAAACUAGGUCACUAGGUCAAAUCAAAGAAAAACCUUGUGUAUGCUAUAGAGGCGGUAUUUUUCAAUUGAUCUUCAUGAAUUUUGGUCAGAAUGAUUACCUUGAUGAAAUCUAGGCCGAGUUCGAAAAUGGGUCAUCUGGGGUUAAAAACUAGGUCAAUAGGUCAAAUCAAGGAAAAACCUUGUGUAUGCGAUAGAGGCUGUAUUUUUCAACUGAUCUUCAUGAAAUUAAGCCAGAAUGAUUACCUUGAUAAAAUCUAGGCCGAGUUCGAAAAUGGGUCAUCUGGGGUCAAAAACUAGGUCACUAGGUCAAAUCGAAGAAAAACAUUGUGUAUGCAAUAGAGGAUGUAGUUUUCAAUUGAUCUUCAUGAAAUUUGGUCAGAGUGAUUGCCUUGAUGAAAUCUAGGUCGAGUUUGAAUAUGGGUUAUCUGAGGUCAAAAACUAGGUCACUAGGUCAAAUUAAUGCGAUAGAGACUGUUUUUUUCAAUUGAUUUUUAGCUCACCUGUCACAAAGUGACAAGGUGAGCUUUUGUGAUCACGCAGCGUCCGUCGUCCAUCCGUGCGUGCAUAAACUUUUGCUUGUGACCACUCUAGAGGUCACAUUUUUCAUGGGAUCUUUAUGAAAAUUGGUCAGAAUGUUCUUCUUAACGAUAUCUAGGUCAGGUUCGAAACUGGGUCACGUGCCUUAAAAAACUAGGUCAGUAGGUCUAAAAAUAGAAAAAACCUUGUGACCUCUCUAGAGGCCAUAUAUUUCAAAAGAUCUUCAUGGAAGUUGGUCAGAAUGUUCACCUUGAUGAUAUCUAGGUCAAGUUUGAAACUGGGUCACGUGGCGUCAAAAACUAGGUCAGUAGGUCAAAUAAUAGAAAAACCUUGUGACCUCUCUAAAGGCCAUAUUUUUCAUGGGAUCUGUAUGAAAGUUGGUUUGAAUGUUCAUCUUGAUGAUAUCUAGGUCAAGUUCGAAACUGGGUCACGUGGCGUCAAAAACUAGGUCAGUAGGUCAAAUAAUAGAGAAACCUUGUGACCUCUCUAAAGGCCAUAUUUUUCAUGGGAUCUGUAUGAAAGUUGGUCUGAAUGUUCUUCUUAAUGAUAUCUAGGUCAGGUUCGAAACUGGGUCACGUGCCUUAAAAAACUAGGUCAGUAGGUCUAAAAAUAGAAAAACCUUGUGACCUCUCUAGAGGCCAUAUAUUUCACAAGAUCUUCAUGAAAGUUGGUCAGAAUGUUCACCUUGAUGAUAUCUAGGUCAAGUUCGAAACUGGGUCACGUGGCGUCAAAAACUAGGUCAGUAGGUGAAAUAAUAGAAAAACCUUGUGACCUUUCUAGAGGCCAUAUAUUUCACAAGAUCUUCAUGAAAGUUGGUCAGAAUGUUCAUCUUGAUGAUAUCUAGGUCAAGUUCGAAACUGGGUCACGUGCGGUCAAAAACUAGGUCAGUAGGUCUAAAAAUAGAAAAACCUUGUGACCUCUCUAGAGGCCACACUUGUGAAUGGAUCUUCAUAAAAAUUGGUCAGAAUGUUCACAUUGAUGAUAUCUAGGUCAAGUUCGAAACUGGGUCACGUGCGGUCAAAAACUAUGUCAGUAGGUCUAAAAAUAGGAAAACCUUGUGACCUCUCUAGAGGCCAUAUAUUUCAUGAGAUCUUCAUGAAAAUUGGUCAGAAUGUUUACCUUGAUGAUAUCUAGGUUACUUUCGAAAGUGGGUCACGUGCCUUAAAAAACUAGGUCAGUAGGUCAAAUAAUAGAAAAACCUUGUGACCUCUCUAGAGGCCAUAUUUUUCAUGGGAUCUGUAUGAAAGUUGGUCAGAAUGUUCAUCUUGAUGAUAUCUAGUUCAAGUUCGAAACAGGGUCAUGUGCGAUCAAAAACUAGGUCAGUAGGUCUAAAAAUAGAAAAACCUUGUGACCUCUCUAGAGGCCAUACAUGUGAAUGGAUCUCCAUAAAUAUUGAUCAGAAUGUUCAUUUUGAGGAUAUCUAGGUCAAGUUCGAAAGUGGGUCAUGUGCCAUCAAAAACUAGGUCAGUAGGUCAAAUAAUAGAAAAACCUUGUGACCUCUCUAGAGGCCAUAUUUUUCAUGGGAACUGUAUGAAAGUUGGGCUGAAUGUUUAUCUUGAUGAUAUAUAGGUCAAGUUUGAAACUAGGUCAACUGCGAUCAAAAACUAGGUCAGUAGGUCUUGAAAUAGAAAAACCUUGUGACCUCUCUAGAGGCCAUACCCUUGAAUGGAUCUUCAUGAAAAUUGGUCAGAAUGUUCACCUUGAUGAUAUCUAGAUCAAGUUCGAAACUGGGUCACGUGCCUUAAAAAACUAGAUCAGUAGGUCAAAUAAUAAAAACACCUUGUGACCUCUCUAGAGGCCAUACUUUUCAUAGGAUCUGUAUGAAAGUUGGUCUGAAUGUUCAUCUUGAUGAUAUCUAGGUCAAGUUUGAAACUGGGUCAGCUGCGGUCAAAAACUAGGUCAGUAGGUCUAAAAUUAGAAAAAAUUUGUGACCUCUCUAGAGGCCAUAUAUUUCAUAAGAUCUUCAUGAAAAUUGGUCAGAAUGUUCACCUUGAUUAUAUCUAGGUCAAGUUCAAAACUGGGUCACGUGCCAUCAAAAUCUAGGUCAGUAGGUCUAAAAAUAGAAAAACAUUGUGACCUCUCUAGAGGCCAUAUAUUUCACAUGAUCUUCAUGAAAAUUGGUCAGAACAUUUACCUUGAUGAUAUCUAGGUCAGUUUUGAAACUGGGUCACACUUCUUCAAAAACUAGGUCAGUAGGUCAAAUAAUAGAAAAACCUUGUGACCUCUCUAAAGGCCAUAUUUUUCAUGGGAUCUGAAAGAAAGUUGGUCUGAAUGUUCAUCGUUGUGAUAUCUAGAUCAGGUUCGAAACUGGGUCACGUGCGGUCAAAAACUAGGUCAGUAGGUCUAAAAAUAGAAAAACCUUGUGACCUCUCUAGAGGCCAUAUAUUUCAUGAGAUUUUCAUGAAAAUUGGUCAGAAUGUUCAUCUUGAUGAUAUCUAGAUCAGGUUCGAAAGUGGGUCACAUGCCUUCAAAAACUAGGUCAGUAGGUCAAAUAACAGAAAAACCUUGUGACCUCUCUAGAGGCCAUAUUUUUCAUGGAAUCUGUAUGAAAGUUGGUCUGAAUGUUCAUCUUGAUGAUAUCUAGGUCAAGUUCGAAACAGGAUCAUGUGCUUCAAAAACUAGGUCAGUAGGUCUUGAAAUAGAAAAACCUUGUGACCUUUCUAGAGGCCAUAUUUUUCAUGGGAUCUGUAUGAAAGUUGGUCUGAAUGUUUAUCUUGAUGAUAUAUAGGUCAAGUUUGAAACUGGGUCAACUGCGAAGAAAAACCAGGUCAGUAGGUCUUGAAAUAGAAAAACCUUGUGACCUCUCUAGAGGCCAUACCCUUGAAUGGAUCUUCAUGAAAAUUGGUCAGAAUGUUCACCUUGAUGAUAUCUAGGUCAAGGUUGAAACUGGGUCACGUGCCUUAAAAAACUAGGUCAGUAGGUCAAAUAAUAAAAACACCUUGUGACCUCUCUAGAGGCCAUACUUUUCAUAGGAUCUGUAUGAAAGUUGGUCUGAAUGUUCAUCUUGAUGAUAUCUAGGUCAAGUUUGAAACUGGAUCAACUGCAGUCAAAAGCUAGGUCAGUAGGUCUAAAAUUAGAAAAAUCUUUUGACCUCUCUAGAGGCCAUAUUUUUCAAUAGAUCUUCAUGAAAAUUGAUUUGAAUGUUCACCUUGAUGAUAUCUAGGUCAGUUACGAAACUGGGUCACGUGCGGUCAAAAACUAGGCCAGUAGGUAUAAAAAUAGAAAAACCUUGUGACCUCCCUAGAGGCCAUAUUUUUCAUGAGAUCUUCAUGAAAACUAGUGAGAAUGUUCACCUUGAUGAUAUCUAGGUAAAAUUCAAAACAGGGUCACAUACCUUCGAAAACUAGGUCAAUAGGUCAAAUAAUUGAAAAACCUUAUGACCUCUCUAGAGACCAUAUUUUUCAAUGGAUCUUCAUGAAAAUUGGUCAGAAUUUUUAUCCUGAUAAUAUAUAGGUCAAGUUAAAAAUUUGGUCACAUGAGCUCAAAAACUAGGUCACUAUGUCAAAUAAUAGAAAAAACGACGUCAUACUCAAAGCUGCGUCAUGUGGGAAGAGGUGAGCGAUUCAGGACCAUCAUGGUCCUCUUGUUUAAUCUUUAUGGUGAAAUUAAUUAAUACAAUUUUAAGAAAUUUGAAGGUUCAUGUGUUAAAUUAGGCUUGUUGAAAAUAGGAGGUUAAAAAAAAGCAAAACCCGAGACUCGAACUCGCGAUCUCAUGCUUGUGAAGCCGAUGUUAUACCGAUGCACAAAAAUGACUCAUUUUUACCUUUAUUAUGUAUUUUUGGUAAAUCAUCUGGUUUCAACUGCCAAAAGGAGGAACUUUCAACUUAAUUGGGGAUUACAGAGUUAUUCUUUGCGCAUGCGCAUUGGUUGCACGUGAAAUCCCCCAUGUGUGGAAUGUAAACAAAACAAUUAUGGAAUGAACAAUUCGAGUUUUCUUGGAAAGUUUUUACCCUUUGUUGCUGAAAUUUCACAGAGCUCUGGAUUGCAGGGUAGCGUUAUGGAAACAAUGUCGACUUCAUUGUGAAGAACGUCACCAAACGUAAAAUAACGCGUUGACGGAUACUACUAGCCGACGGAAACAACUUCGAAACCGCAGUACACAAGUCAUUUUACAGAUAUCUUACAGUCAGAUUGGUUGUUCACUUAAUAAUCGGACAUGAAACUGACAAUAUCUUUCGCUGUUUUAUGCUUGGCAUAUACAAUAUCAACUUUCAAAGGUCGUGACGUUGCAGAUGCCAAACCUCUUGUGCCUAAGUCUCGACGUUCAUCCACUGACUCGAAGCGAUCAGAAGGUUCAUCAGAAAGUUCAUCAGAA